rnacentral:rRNA from 1 species
GACGAACGCUGGCGGCGUGCUUAACACAUGCAAGUCGAACGGAAAGGCCCUGCUUUUGUGGGGUGCUCGAGUGGCGAACGGGUGAGUAACACGUGAGUAACCUGCCCUUGACUUUGGGAUAACUUCAGGAAACUGGGGCUAAUACCGGAUAGGAGCUCCUGCUGCAUGGUGGGGGUUGGAAAGUCUCGGCGGUUGGGGAUGGACUCGCGGCUUAUCAGGUUGUUGGUGGGGUAGUGGCUUACCAAGGCUUUGACGGGUAGCCGGCCUGAGAGGGUGACCGGCCACAUUGGGACUGAGAUACGGCCCAGACUCCUACGGGAGGCAGCAGUGGGGAAUAUUGCACAAUGGGCGGAAGCCUGAUGCAGCAACGCCGCGUGCGGGAUGACGGCCUUCGGGUUGUAAACCGCUUUCGCCUGUGACGAAGCGUGAGUGGCGGUAAUGGGUAAAGAAGCACCGGCUAACUACGUG